rnacentral:rRNA from 1 species
UACCAGACUCCUACGGGAGGCAGCAGUGAGGAAUAUUGGUCAAUGGCCGAGAGGCUGAACCAGCCAAGUCGCGUGAGGGAAGACGGCCCUACGGGUUGUAAACCUCUUUUGUCGGGGAGCAAAGCGAACCACGUGUGGUUCAUUGAGAGUACCCGAAGAAAAAGCAUCGGCUAACUCCGUGCCAGCAGCCGCGGUAAUACGGAGGAUGCGAGCGUUAUCCGGAUUUAUUGGGUUUAAAGGGUGCGCAGGCGGAGGUGCAAGUCAGCGGUCAAAUUGCGGGGCUCAACCCCGUACUGCCGUUGAAACUGGGGAUCUAGAGUGUGCGAGAGGUAUGCGGAAUGCGUGGUGUAGCGGUGAAAUGCAUAGAUAUCACGCAGAACCCCGAUUGCGAAGGCAGCAUACCGGUGCACAACUGACGCUCAGGCACGAAAGUGUGGGUAUCGAACAGGAUUAGAUACCCGUGUAAC